CACGUAGGGGACGAGCGUUGUCCGGAUUCAUUGGGCGUAAAGCGCACGUAGGCGGCUUCUUAAGUCAGGGGUGAAAUCCUGGAGCUCAACUCCAGAACUGCCUUUGAUACUGAGAAGCUUGAGUCCGGGAGAGGUGAGUGGAACUGCGAGUGUAGAGGUGAAAUUCGUAGAUAUUCGCAAGAACACCAGUGGCGAAGGCGGCUCACUGGCCCGAUACUGACGCUGAGGCACGAAAGCGUGGGGAGCAAACAGG
rnacentral:rRNA from 1 species